rnacentral:lncRNA from 1 species
GAACAAGAGCUUGUGGACUGUGAUACUUCUUACAAUGAAGGAUGCAAUGGAGGUCUCAUGGACUACGCAUUCCAAUUCAUUAUCAAAAAUGGUGGAAUUGACACCGAAGAAGACUACCCCUACACAGGAAGAGAUGGGAAAUGUGACACCUAUAGGGUUCGUUCAUACCCAAUAAUAACUUUCACCAUUUGUUACUUUUAAGUUAAUCCGGAUUCACUUUACUUUAUUUAACUUUGGUGUUUUUUGUUAUGUAAUUUUGGUUUAUACAGAAGAACGCAAAGGUUGUUUCCAUUGAUGGUUAUGAAGAUGUUCCAGUCAACGAUGAGUCAGCAUUGAAAAAGGCCGUCUCAAACCAGCCUGUAUCCGUUGCUAUUGAAGCCGGUGGUCGUGAUUUUCAGUUCUACACUUCGGUAAUGUGUUGUUAUUUAUAGCAAGCAUCCUAUUUUCGUUUCUUUCUAUUAUCACAUUUUUACUCUGAAUAAUCUAUCUAAUUAUAGCAAUGUCAAUAAUAUGUCAUCCAUGUUUAAUAUUUCUUUUAAUCAACCUCAGUAUCUAACCUAUGAUUGGUUGGGAUUAUUGCAGGGUGUGUUCACAGGAAAAUGUGGGACCGCUUUAGACCACGGUGUGCUGGCAGUUGGGUACGGGACCCAAGACGGGAAAGACUAUUGGAUAGUGAAGAACUCAUGGGGAGCAGAGUGGGGUGAAUCAGGUUACUUGAAAAUGGAAAGAAACAUUGCGGAUAAAACAGGGCUUUGUGGUAUAGCAAUGGAGCCAUCUUACCCCAUCAAAACUGGCCAAAACCCACCGAACCCUGGCCCAUCUCCACCAUCACCGGUCACACCUGAAACAGUUUGUGAUGAGUACAGCACCUGCCCGGAAGGAACUACCUGUUGCUGUAUCUAUGAGUAUUAUGGUUAUUGCUUUGCUUGGGGCUGCUGCCCGUUGGAGGGAGCUACUUGCUGUGAGGAUCAUUACAGUUGCUGCCCACAUGAUUACCCCAUUUGCGAUGUGUGCAGGGGUACUUGCUCAAAGGUUAGUUUGUUACCUUAAGCUAAGCUCUUGUUUAUUAUGUAGGAUAGGACAGACUCUGUCCUAUCCUAUAUAAUAGAUUAACAAACUUUUUGUACCAUUCAAAAAGUUUGUUACCUUAAGCUCAUGUUUGUUACAUAGGAUAUGACAUACUAGCAUUGUACUGGUUUGCAAUGCUAGACUGUUCUGUCAUACCCUAUGUAACAAAAUAACAAACUUUUUGUACCAUGCAAAAAAUUUGUUACCUUAAGCUCAUGUUUGUUACAUAGGAUAGGACAUCCUAGCAUUGUAUCGGUUUGCAAUGCUAGACUAUUCUGUCAUAUCCUAUGUAACAAAAUAACAAACUUUUUGUACCAUACAAAAAGUUUGUUAUAUUAAGAACACAGUGCCAUGUUUGGGUUUUACAAAUAAGUAAAUUUGAUUGGGACAAGAAUUACAAUAUGUAAAAGACAAUUUGUAAUUUUUCUCAUUCAAAAAGGUUGAAGGAGUUUGUGAAAAAAGACGUGAAUACCCUUUCAUUUGGAUGUUUGUGUUGUUUUGUAU